UGAACGCUAGCGGCAGGCUUAACGCAUGCAAGGUCGAGGGGCAUCGGGAGUAGCAAUACUGCCGGCGACCGGCGCAAGGGUGCGUAACGCGUGAGCAACAUGCCCGUAUCAGGGGGAUAAUCCAUGGAAACGUGGUCUAAUACCCCAUAGUAAUUAUGUAAGGCAUCUUAUAUAAUUUAAAGCUUUGGUGGAUACGGAUUGGCUCGCGUGACAUUAGCUGGAUGGUAAGGUAACGGCUUACCAUGGCUACGAUGUCUAGGGGUUCUGAGAGGAAGGUCCCCCACACUGGAACUGAGACACGGUCCAGACUCCUACGGGAGGCAGCAGUGAGGAAUAUUGGACAAUGGAUGGAAAUCUGAUCCAGCCAUGCCGCGUGCAGGAAGACGGCCCUAUGGGUUGUAAACUGCUUUUGUAUGGGAGCAAUAAGGGCUACGUGUAGUCCGAUGGGAGUACCAUACGAAUAAGCACCGGCUAACUCCGUGCCAGCCGCCGC
rnacentral:rRNA from 1 species